rnacentral:rRNA from 1 species
AACGAACGCUGGCGGCAGGCUUAACACAUGCAAGUCGAGCGCCCCGCAAGGGGAGCGGCAGACGGGUGAGUAACGCGUGGGAACGUACCUUUUGGUUCGGAACAACUCCGGGAAACUGGAGCUACUACCGGAUAAGCCCUAACGGGGAAAGAUUUAUCGCCGAAAGAUCGGCCCGCGUCUGAUUAGCUAGUUGGUGAGGUAACGGCUCACCAAGGCGACGAUCAGUAGCUGGUCUGAGAGGAUGAUCAGCCACACUGGGACUGAGACACGGCCCAGACUCCUACGGGAGGGAGCAGUGGGGAAUAUUGGACAAGGGGCGCAAGCCUGAUCCAGCCAUGCCGCGUGAGUGAUGAAGGCCUUAGGGUUGUAAAGCUCUUUUGUCCGGGAAGAUAAUGACUGUACCGGAAGAAGAAGCCCCGGCUAACUUCGUG